CUAGGUACGUGACCACAGGCGCCUGAGCGUGUACACGUGUGCCCGAGCUGUGGUCACAGUCCUGUCGGUCGCCCAAAUCUGCGUGGCACAAAGCAAAGGUCAUCGUGCCACUGUUGUGAUGCACUAAAAACCACCGCAGAGACAUCAGGAUGUAACACAGAAUUUUCUCGUCAAGGGACAAGAAACCUUCAGAGGGGUGGGGGCUGGGAGGAGGAAAGCGGGCGUGUGGAUGGGGGGAUGGAGGGAAAUGGCAGAAAAUGGGGAGGAAAAUGAAGAAUACAAAGCUCCACUUCGCUAAUCCAAGAUAGACAAUCCAUCCCUUCCCCCUCUCUAUGCCCUCCCUCCCCCCGAAAUGUUGGUGCAGAUGGAUUUCUGUAUCUUGGUUUUGCAGCAGUGGGUCUAAUGACUCCUAUACCAAACCCCCUCGCUAUCAUAACCCCUCCCACUAUUUUUUUUUUUUUUUUUUUAGACUGGGCUGAAGAAUAAUGUGUUUUUAGAGAUAAUGGGUUUUAUAAAAAGAAAGAAAAAGGGACGCAACGCAGACAUUAUGGAAAAAAAAUUGGAAGAAAAAAAAAGAAAAAAAGUGGGUAUUCCACAUACAUCUUGCACGAAGAAAGCAUUGAACCAACCUCUAAGGUCACUUACUGCCUGAAAACCCUCAGCAGCAGCUCACGGUGGAAGUUUUCAGGCAAGACGGCUACUAAAUCAUUAAUACAAACAAAUGGAAGGCGGGGAGGAAAGGCGCUACUGUAAUAGAUCCGAAGUCUUGGAGGAGGAAAAAAAUAUUAAAGCAAAAAAAAAUAAAACUUUCAUCUUCAGCCUCUCUUCGUUCCUCAUUAAUAAUUUUUCGGAAAAGAAAACCUUAAGCUUCAGUCAAACAAGAGGCUCUCUCUAAGCGUCUCGCUGCCGUAAUUCAGCGUAGUGCCUUCUUCUUUUUCACGAGGCCCCCCCGUUUUUCACUCCGAAGAGCCCCGCCGCAGGAAGAGCGGAUACCCAAAAAGUCGGGCAGAGCAGCCGGGGCCGGAACGUCCCGGGGCCGGGGUAGCCAGGCAGCGCCCAGCCCCGCCGGGGCGGCCGGGAAGGAAAAAGCCGCUCCCCGGCACUUCUCUGACGGGGGACAGCGGGAACCCGUCCGUGGAGCUACCGGCCGGGCAGCGCCCGCUGUGCCGAGCCAAGCCGAG
rnacentral:lncRNA from 1 species